UAACUCCUACGGGAGGCAGCAGUGGGGAAUUUUGGACAAUGGGCGAAAGCCUGAUCCAGCCAUGCCGCGUGCAGGAUGAAGGCCUUCGGGUUGUAAACUGCUUUUGUACGGAACGAAACGGCCUUUUCUAAUAAAGAGGGCUAAUGACGGUACCGUAAGAAUAAGCACCGGCUAACUACGUGCCAGCAGCCGCGGUAAUACGUAGGGUGCAAGCGUUAAUCGGAAUUACUGGGCGUAAAGCGUGCGCAGGCGGUUAUGUAAGACAGUUGUGAAAUCCCCGGGCUCAACCUGGGAACUGCAUCUGUGACUGCAUAGCUAGAGUACGGUAGAGGGGGAUGGAAUUCCGCGUGUAGCAGUGAAAUGCGUAGAUAUGCGGAGGAACACCGAUGGCGAAGGCAAUCCCCUGGACCUGUACUGACGCUCAUGCACGAAAGCGUGGGGAGCAAACAGGAUUAGAUACCCUAGUAGUCCCAUGAU
rnacentral:rRNA from 1 species